rnacentral:rRNA from 1 species
UACGUAGGGGGCAAGCGUUGUCCGGAAUCAUUGGGCGUAAAGCGCGCGUAGGCGGCCCGGUAAGUCCGUUGUAAAAGUCGAAGGCUCAACCUUCGAAAGCCGAUGGAUACUGCCGGGCUAGAGUCCGGAAGAGGCGAGUGGAAUUCCUGGUGUAGCGGUGGAAUGCGCAGAUAUCGGAAGGAACAUCAGUGGCGAAGGCGACUUCCUGGACCAAUACUGACGCUCAGGUGCGAAAGCGUGGGGAGCAAACAGG